rnacentral:rRNA from 1 species
GAUGAACGCUAGCUACAGGCUUAACACAUGCAAGUCGAGGGGCAGCGAGAGGAAAGCUUGCUUUCCUUGUCGGCGACCGGCGCACGGGUGAGUAACGCGUAUCCAACCUUCCCUAUAGUAGAGAAUAGCCCGGCGAAAGUCGAAUUAAUGCUCUAUGUUCUUCUUUGAUGGCAUCUGACGAGAAGCAAAGGUUUACCGCUAUAGGAUGGGGAUGCGUCUGAUUAGGUUGUAGGCGGGGUAACGGCCCACCUAGCCGACGAUCAGUAGGGGUUCUGAGAGGAAGGUCCCCCACAUUGGUACUGAGACACGGACCAAACUCC